rnacentral:rRNA from 1 species
GACGAACGCUGGCGGCGUGCCUAAUACAUGCAAGUAGAACGCACAGUUUAUACCGUAGCUUGCUACACCAUACACUGUGAGUUGCGAACGGGUGAGUAACGCGUAGGUAACCUGCCUGGUAGCGGGUGAUAACUAUUGGAAACGAUAGCUAAUACCGCAUAAUAUUCAUUAUUGCAUGAUAAUUGAUUUAACGAUGCAAUUGCAUCACUACCAGAUGUACCUGCGUUGUAUUAGCUAGUAGGUGAGGUAACGGCUCACCUAGGCGACGAUACAUAGCCGACCUGAGAGGGUGAACGGCCACACUGGGACUGAGACACGGCCCAGACCCCUACGGGAGGAAGCCGUAGGGAAUCUUCGGCAAUGGACGAAAGUCUGACCGAGCAACGCCGCGUGAGGGAAGAAGGUUUUCGGAUCGUAAAGCUCUGUUGUAAGAGAAGAACGGGUGUGAGAGUGGAAAGUUCACACUGUGACGGUAUCUUACCAGAAAGGGACGGCUAACUACGUG